UGGGGACAGGGAGCUGUGGGGGUGUCCCCUUUUGGGUGAUGCCUCCUGUGCUGUCAGCCCUAAGCUGCGGCUGCGUGUGUCGCUCGGUGCUCGCUAACUUUCUCUCAAUGAGCGCUUGUGCUUCAGUGAUGAGAAAAGCAAUUUCUGUGCAAACCCGUGAAGUGUCUUGAGGGACUGGUUUAUACUGAAGCAUCUCCUGGCGCUGCAAAAAAAUGGGACAGUCUUCCUUUUCCUGUUAGAUUUUUACUGUGAAUGGAUUUUGAAGACAAAAGCUUCAAGAAAAGCAUACUUGAAAAGGCAACAAGAUGGAAGAGAAAAAAAAAAGGCACUUGGCUUGGACCCUGGCUGAUGAGUAUGUGUGCCCAGCACCACCAGGACUGAUGAUCCUCGUCUUAGGAACAGCUGACUCAGAAGCUGGCCUGAAUGGAGUCAAGUUCAAUAGCUCCUGAAGAAGAGAGUAACUAAACAUCAGGCAACAGUAAAAGAGACCCCGAUAAAUCCUUUGAGGACACUUUUUGUGAGGUAAGAGAUUUUUGUUUGUUUUCCUAAGACAGUGGAUGAGAUUUAUUGGUAUAAGAGUCAAUGGCUUAUUUAAAAUAAAAAUCA
rnacentral:lncRNA from 1 species